AAUGACACGAUCACUCCCGUUGAGCGGACAGCCAAGAAGCCAUCGGGAAUAUCGUGUCCGUCC
rnacentral:pre_miRNA from 2 species